UACGGAGGGUGCGAGCGUUGUCCGGAAUCACUGGGCGUAAAGGGCGCGUAGGCGGUGGGAUAAGCGUGUGGUGAAAGCCCGGGGCUCAACCCCGGGUCUGCCGUGCGAACUGUCCCACUCGAGCACUGUAGAGGCAGGUGGAAUUCCGGGUGUAGCGGUGGAAUGCGUAGAGAUCCGGAAGAACAUCGGUGGCGAAGGCGGCCUGCUGGGCAGUGGCUGACGCUGAGGCGCGACAGCGUGGGGAGCAAACAGG
rnacentral:rRNA from 1 species